GUAGUUUCUCGGGGGACCAGACGCGGAGAACGCGGAGAGGGUUCCGCUGUAAGUUUCUCCUUUGCAGUGUAAAGGUGUGUUUCGCCAUCCCCGUAACUCCACCCUCAGGGUCUUGGAAGUCGCUAGGAAUCUAAAAUCCCAGCAACCCGGCCCUCCGCCCCCAAGUAAAUCCUGGCGUCGUCCUUAUAGCUCGGGAAGAGUUGACCUUGGAGGACGUGGCCAUCGAGUUCUCUCCGGAGGAGUGGGCCUGCCUGGACCCUGCGCAGAGGGCCUUGUACAGGGACGUGAUGCUGGAGACCUGUAGGAACCUGCUCUCCCUGGUGGUGCUGCAGCUCCAACAGGGGUAAAGUCGGUGUUUUUAUCCUGAUCCACAACACUCUCAUCGGACUUCUCUGAACUUGUUCUUGCCUGACUUUGAGAAGCAUGCGGUGGACUGUUUGCAAGGGGUCUCUUGCCCCCUCAUCUCUCCUCCUGGACAGACUCCACUGGAUGUGCAUUGCUUGGUCCAUGUAGAGGAGACCUACGGCCUCUGGAGUCCAGCCCUCGGCCCCGGGGAGUUCCCGUCGUGGCGCAGUGGUUGACGAAUCCGACUAGGAACCAUGAGGUUAUGAGUUCGAUCCCUGGCCUCGCUCAGUCGGUUGAGGAUCUGGCAUUGCUGUGGCUGUGGUGUAGGCUGGUGGCUACAGUUCCGAUUAGACCCCUAGCCUGGGAACCUCCGUAUGCCACAGGAGAGGCUCAAGAAAAGGCAAAAAAGACAACUACAAAAAAACAUUUUCAUAACCCAUGAUAAUCUAGCAGCAUCCCCCCCAUCCCAGCAGCACAGAUUUCGAGACGUCCCAGCCAAUGACCGUGUCAUACAGGAAAGGGGUUAUGUCGCUUGACGGGUGACUGUCCUGGGAGUCCCGGCCGACAACCGAGUCCUGUUCUGCUCGUGCAACGUCUGCACAGAAACCAGGCGAUGCUGUCGAUCUGAGCAAACGAUCUGUGGGGCUGGACGGGGCUGGAGCAGCUGAGACCCCGACCUUGGAAAAGACCUGCCUGACCUUGGAAAAGACCUGCCACCGCAAGAGUCGUAACCGUGACUCACGCUCCAGGCACUCGUGAUGGAGCACGACGGCGCAUACUGUGAGAAAAAGCACGCACACACUGAAGAGUCAUAAACAUGUUCCAGAAGGUAUGGUCAAGUUUACUCUUAGCAGAACCCGAAAGGAAAGACCUGGAAAUGGCUACGAAGAGGAGAAUGAAUGAAUGCACUCUUAUAAACACGUGUGGAGGCGGUAAAACCCUCCCAAGGGUCCGGCAGUAGAAGAUGACCCUGGGUGCUGGACGAUGACCUCCUGGCGGGAGCAACAGAGGUUGACUGGUGGGAACAAAGUUAGCAGGAAGCUUUGCUAAGGUUUCACGUCUUGGUGGACAUGAUGAUAUUUGGUAAGAAUAACCUGUGAGCUACAUUAUUUUAAAAGGAGCAUCAAGGAGUUCCUGUCGUGGCGCAGUGGUUAACGAAUCCGACCAGGAACCAUAAGGUUGUGGGUUCGAUCCCUGGCCUUGCUCAGUGGGUUAGGGAACCGGUGUUGCCAUGAGCUGUGGUGUAGGUUGCAGACUCGGCUUGGAUCCCACGUUGCUGUGGCUCUGGCGUAGGUCGGCGGCUACAGCUCCAAUUUGAUCCCUAGCCUGGGAACCUCCAUAUGCCGCAGGAGCAGCUCCAGAAAAGGCAAAAAGACAACAACAACAACAACAAAAAAAAACUAUAAAGAGAAAAUAAAUAAAAGGAGUAUCAAUUUUGG
rnacentral:lncRNA from 1 species